CCCUUAGAUGUUCUGGGCCGCACGCGCGCUACACUGAUGUAUUCAACGAGUCUAAAACCUGGUCUGAUAGGGCUGGGUAAUCUUUUGAAAGUGCAUCGUGAUUGGGAUAGAUGAUUGCAAUUCUUCAUCUUCAACGAGGAAUGCCUAGUAAACGCAAGUCAUCAGCUUGCAUUGAUUACGUCCCUGCCCUUUGUACACACCGCCCGUCGCUCCUACCGAUUGAAUGAUCCGAUGAAUACCAUGGAUUGAGAGUACGAAUGGGUUCGCUCAUUUCUGCUGCUCGAGAAGUGGAGUAAAUCUUAUCAUUUAGAGGAAGGAGAAGUCGUAACA
rnacentral:rRNA from 1 species